rnacentral:rRNA from 1 species
UACGUAGGGAGCAAGCGUUGUUCGGAAUUACUGGGCGUAAAGGGCGCGUAGGCGGCCUUCUAAGUCGAACGUGAAAUCCCUGGGCUCAACCCAGGAACUGCGUCCGAGACUGGAAGGCUCGAAUCCGGGAGAGGGAUGUGGAAUUCCAGGUGUAGCGGUGAAAUGCGUAGAUAUCUGGAGGAACAUCGGUGGCGAAGGCGGCAUCCUGGACCGGUAUUGACGCUGAGGCGCGAAAGCCAGGGGAGCAAACGGG